rnacentral:rRNA from 1 species
UACGUAGGGGGCUAGCGUUGUUCGGAAUUACUGGGCGUAAAGCGCACGUAGGCGGAUCGAUCAGUCAGGGGUGAAAUCCCAGGGCUCAACCCUGGAACUGCCUUUGAUACUGUCGAUCUGGAGUAUGGAAGAGGUGAGUGGAAUUCCGAGUGUAGAGGUGAAAUUCGUAGAUAUUCGCAAGAACACCAGUGGCGAAGGCGGCUCACUGGCCCGGUACUGACGCUGAGGUGCGAAAGCGUGGGGAGCAAACAGG